rnacentral:rRNA from 1 species
CCGGCGGACGGGUGCGUAACGCGUGGGAAUAUACCUAUCGAUUCGGAACAACUGAGGGAAACUUCAGCUAAUACCGAAUACGUCCUAACGGAGAAAGAUUUAUCGUCGAUAGAUUAGCCCGCGUUCGAUUAGCUAGUUGGUGGGGUAACGGCUCACCAAGGCGACGAUCGAUAGCUGUUCUGAGAGGAAGAUCAGCCACACUGGGACUGAGACACGGCCCAGACUCCUACGGGAGGCAGCAGUUGGGAAUCUUGGACAAUGGGGGAAACCCUGAUCCAGCCAUGCCGCGUGAGUGAUGAAGGCCUUCGGGUUGUAAAACUCUUUCGCGCACGACGAUAAUGACGGUAGUGCGAGAAGAAGCUCCGGCUAACUUCGUGCCAGCAGCCGCGGUAAUACGAAGGGGGCUAGCGUUGUUCGGAAUUACUGGGCGUAAAGCGCGCGCA